UACGUAGGGGGCAAGCGUUGUCCGGAUUUAUUGGGCGUAAAGAGCGCGUAGGUGGCCCUGUAAGUCCGUUGUGAAAGUCAAAAGGCUCAACCUUUGAAAGCCGAUGGAUACUGCAGGGCUAGAGUACGGAAGAGGCGAGUGGAAUUCCCGGUGUAGCGGUGAAAUGCGCAGAUAUCGGGAGGAACACCAGUGGCGAAGGCGGCACUCUGGGCCGGUACUGACGCUGAGGAGCGAAAGCGUGGGGAGCGAACAGG
rnacentral:rRNA from 1 species